UACGUAGGGUGCGAGCGUUGUCCGGAAUUAUUGGGCGUAAAGAGCUCGUAGGCGGUGUGUCACGUCGGCCGUGAAAACCUGCAGCUUAACUGUGGGCUUGCGGCCGAUGCGGGCAUCACUGGAGUUCGGCAGGGGAGACUGGAAUUCCUGGUGUAGCGGUGAAAUGCGCAGAUAUCAGGAGGAACACCGGUGGCGAAGGCGGGUCUCUGGGCCGAUACUGACGCUGAGGAGCGAAAGCGUGGGGAGCGAACAGG
rnacentral:rRNA from 1 species